AGAAUCAACGCUGGCGGCGUGCCUAACACAUGCAAGUCGAACGAGAAAGUGGAGCAAUCCAUGAGUAAAGUGGCGCACGGGUGAGUAACACGUGACUAACCUACCUUUUAGUGGGGGAUAACCUAGGGAAACCUGGGCUAAUACCGCAUAAUACCUACGGGUCAAAGCAGCAAUGCGCUGAAAGAGGGGGUCGCGGUCGAUUAGUUAGUUGGCAGGGUAAUGGCCUACCAAGACUGUGAUCGAUAUCCGGCCUGAGAGGGCGCACGGACACACUGGAACUGAAACACGGUCCAGACUCCUACGGGAGGCAGCAGUGGGGAAUUUUGCGCAAUGGGGGAAACCCUGACGCAGCAACGCCGCGUGGAGGAUGAAGUCCCUUGGGACGUAAACUCCUUUCGAUCGGGACGAUAAUGACGGUACCGGAAGAAGAGCCCGGCUAACUUCGUGCCAGCAGCCGC
rnacentral:rRNA from 1 species